rnacentral:rRNA from 1 species
UACGUAGGGUCCGAGCGUUGUCCGGAAUUACUGGGCGUAAAGAGCUCGUAGGUGGUUUGUCGCGUUGUUCGUGAAAACUCACAGCUCAACUGUGGGCGUGCGGGCGAUACGGGCAGACUUGAGUACUGCAGGGGAGACUGGAAUUCCUGGUGUAGCGGUGGAAUGCGCAGAUAUCGGGAAGAACACCCGUGGCGAAGGCGACCUUCUGGGCCGCAACUGACGCUGAGGCACGAAAGCGUGGGGAGCAAACGGG